UGGGAGACAUGAAGGGAUUCCAUGAAAAUAAAUCGAUGGAAAGACUCGAGCUGAUGCAAAGAUACACGUAUUGGGGAAUAUGCCAAUACAGCAAAGCUAUCCACAAAGUAUACAUCGGAUAAAAAAAAUCUGGACUCGGACGGGGAUGUCCACAAAGGACUCAACUGAGGAAGAAAAAUGAGAUAUUACCGGUUACUGGGUAAUAAACUCAAAGAGAGACAUGUUAUCAAAACACCGGUUACUGGGUGAG
rnacentral:lncRNA from 1 species